rnacentral:rRNA from 1 species
GAGCCUGCGGUUUAAUUGGAUUCAACGCCGGAAAUCUCACCAAGGGCGACAGCAGUAUGAAGGCCAAAUUAAAGGUCUUGCCUAACACGCUGAGAGGAGGUGCAUGGCCAUCGAAAGUUCGUGUCGUGAGAUGUCCUGUUAAGUCAGGCAACGAACAAGACCCAUGCUAUUAUUUGCUAAGCGAGCUUCGGCUUGUGCGGGCACAAUAAUAGGACUGCAUUCGAUAAGAAUGAGGAAGGUGUGGGCAACGGUAGGUCAGUAUGCCCCGAAUCCCUUGGGCUACACGCGGGCUACAAUGGAUAGGACAAUGGGUUGCUACUCCGAGAGGAGACGCCAAUCCCUUAAACCUAUUCUUAGUUCGGAUUGAGGGUUGAAACUCACCCUCAUGAAGCUGGACUCCCUAGUAACCGUGAUCCAUUCAUUCACGGUGAAUACGUCCCUGCUCCUUGCACACACCGCCUGUCAAGCCACCCGAGUCGGCUCUGGGUGAGAACCAUCCUUCGUGUUUGGUUCGAACCUAAGGUUGAUAAGGAGGGUUAAGUCAACACAAGGUACCCGUAGGGGAACCUGCGGGUGGAUCACCUCCUUU